GACGAACGCUGGCGGCGUGCCUAAUACAUGCAAGUCGAACGCACUCUCGUUUAGAUUGAAGGAGCUUGCUCCUGAUUGAUAAACAUUUGAGUGAGUGGCGGACGGGUGAGUAACACGUGGGUAACCUGCCCUAAAGUGGGGGAUAACAUUUGGAAACAGAUGCUAAUACCGCAUAAAACCUAACACCGCAUGGUGUAGGGUUGAAAGAUGGUUUCGGCUAUCACUUUAGGAUGGACCCGCGGUGCAUUAGUUAGUUGGUGAGGUAAAGGCCCACCAAGACCGUGAUGCAUAGCCGACCUGAGAGGGUAAUCGGCCACACUGGGACUGAGACACGGCCCAGACUCCUACGGGAGGCAGCAGUAGGGAAUCUUCCACAAUGGACGAAAGUCUGAUGGAGCAACGCCGCGUGAGUGGAGAAGGUUUUCGGAUCGUAAAACUCUGUUGUUGGAGAAGAAUGUAUCUGAUAGUAACUGAUCAGGUAGUGACGGUAUCCAACCAGAAAGCCACGGCUAAC
rnacentral:rRNA from 1 species